UACGUAGGGGGCGAGCGUUGUCCGGAAUUAUUGGGCGUAAAGAGCUUGUAGGCGGUUUGUCGCGUCUGCUGUGAAAUCUCAAGGCUCAACCUUGAGCUUGCAGUGGGUACGGGCAGACUAGAGUGUGGUAGGGGAGACUGGAAUUCCUGGUGUAGCGGUGAAAUGCGCAGAUAUCAGGAGGAACACCGAUGGCGAAGGCAGGUCUCUGGGCCACUACUGACGCUGAGAAGCGAAAGCAUGGGGAGCGAACAGG
rnacentral:rRNA from 1 species